AUGAACGCUGGCGGCGUGCCUAAUACCUGCAAGUCGAGCGAACGGACGAGAAGCUUGCUUUUCUGAUGUUAGCGGCGGACGGGUGAGUAACACGUGGAUAACCUACCUAUAAGACUGGGAUAACUUCGGGAAACCGGAGCUAAUACCGGAUAAUAUUUUGAACCGCAUGGUUCAAAAGUGAAAGACGGUCUUGCUGUCACUUAUAGAUGGAUCCGCGCUGCAUUAGCUAGUUGGUAAGGUAACGGCUUACCAAGGCAACGAUGCAUAGCCGACCUGAGAGGGUGAUCGGCCACACUGGAACUGAGACACGGUCCAGACUCCUACGGGAGGCAGCAGUAGGGAAUCUUCCGCAAUGGGCGAAAGCCUGACGGAGCAACGCCGCGUGAGUGAUGAAGGUCUUCGGAUCGUAAAACUCUGUUAUUAGGGAAGAACAUAUGUGUAAGUAACUGUGCACAUCUUGACGGUACCUAAUCAGAAAGCCACGGCUAGCUACGUG
rnacentral:rRNA from 1 species